rnacentral:rRNA from 1 species
UACGAAGGUGGCAAGCGUUGUUCGGAAUUACUGGGCGUAAAGGGCGCGUAGGCGGCCUUCUAAGUCGGACGUGAAAUCCCUCGGCUUAACCGAGGAACUGCGUCCGAUACUGAAAGGCUUGAAUCCGGGAGAGGGAUGUGGAAUUCCAGGUGUAGCGGUGAAAUGCGUAGAUAUCUGGAGGAACACCGGUGGCGAAGGCGGCAUCCUGGACCGGCAUUGACGCUGAGGCGCGAAAGCUAGGGGAGCAAACGGG